ensembl:lncRNA PMS2P3 PMS1 homolog 2, mismatch repair system component pseudogene 3
GUGUUCGGGCAUGCGCGCUGCCGCCGCACUGCCCUCGCUUCCUGUCUAUCAGCCACAGUCUCUGCAUGUUUCCAAGAGCAACAGGAAAUGAACACAUUGCAGGGGCCAGUGUCAUUCAAAGAUGUGGCUGUGGAUUUCACCCAGGAGGAGUGGCGGCAACUGGACCCUGAUGAGAAGAUAGCAUACGGGGAUGUGAUGUUGGAGAACUACAGCCAUCUAGUUUCUGUGGGGUAUGAUUAUCACCAAGCCAAACAUCAUCAUGGAGUGGAGGUGAAGGAAGUGGAGCAGGGAGAGGAGCCGUGGAUAAUGGAAGGUGAAUUUCCAUGUCAACAUAGUCCAGUACAGAACCUGCUAAGGCCAUCAAACCUAUUGAUCGGAAGUCAGUCCAUCAGAUUUGCUCUGGGCCAGUGGUACUGAGUCUAAGCACUGCAGUGAAGGAGUUAGUAGAAAACAGUCUGGAUGCUGGUGCCACUAAUAUUGAUCUAAAGCUUAAGGACUAUGGAGUGGAUCUCAUUGAAGUUUCAGACAAUGGAUGUGGGGUAGAAGAAGAAAACUUUGAAGGCUUAA